rnacentral:rRNA from 1 species
GCAAGUUUUGAUAGCAAUAUUAGGAACCUAGAGCGGCGCACGGGUGAGUAACGCGUACAUGACCUGCCCUAUACUGGGGGAUAGUCUUGGGAAACUGAGAAUAAUCCCGCAUGUGAUUAGAAUGCUGCAUGGCAAAUUAAUUAAAGCUGAGGCGGUAUAGCGAUGGGUGUGCGUCUGAUUAGCUAGUUGGUAGUGUAACGGACUACCAAGGCGAUGAUCAGUAGGGGGCGUGAGAGCGUGACCCCCCACACGGGUACUGAGACACGGACCCGACUCCUC